UACGGAGGAUGCGAGCGUUAUCCGGAUUUAUUGGGUUUAAAGGGUGCGUAGGCGGACGCUUAGGUCAGCGGUAAAAUUGCGGGGCUCAACCUCGUCGAGCCGUUGAAACUGUAGAGCUUGAGUGUCGGAGAGGGUGGCGGAAUUCCAGGUGUAGUAGUGAAAUCCGUAGAUAUCUGGAGGAACACCGGUGGCGAAGGCGGCCACCUGGACGACAACUGACGCUGAGGUGCGAAAGCGUGGGUAGCAAACAGG
rnacentral:rRNA from 1 species